UACGUAGGGGGCGAGCGUUGUCCGGAUUUAUUGGGCGUAAAGAGCUCGUAGGCGGUCUGUCACGUCGAAUGUGAAAAUCCGGGGCUCAACCCCGGACCUGCAUUCGAUACGGGCAGACUAGAGUUCGGUAGGGGAGUCUGGAAUUCCUGGUGUAGCGGUGAAAUGCGGUAGAGAUCGGGAGGAACACCAGUGGGCGAAGGCGGCCUACCGUGGACCGAG
rnacentral:rRNA from 1 species